GUGAGGAAUAUUGGUCAAUGGACGAGAGUCUGAACCAGCCAAGUAGCGUGAAGGAUGACUGCCCUAUGGGUUGUAAACUUCUUUUAUAAGGGAAUAAAGUGAGGGACGUGUCCCUUUUUGUAUGUACCUUAUGAAUAAGGAUCGGCUAACUCCGUGCCAGCAGCCGCGGUAAUACGGAGGAUCCAAGCGUUAUCCGGAUUUAUUGGGUUUAAAGGGAGCGUAGGUUGACAUAUAAGUCAGCUGUGAAAGUUUACGGCUCAACCGUGAAAUUGCAGUUGAUACUGUAUGUCUUGAGUGUACAAGAGGUGGGCGGAAUUCGUGGUGUAGCGGUGAAAAGCUUAGAUAUCACGAAGAACUCCAAUUGCGAAGGCAGCUCACUGGGGUACAACUGACACUGAGGCUCGAAAGUGUGGGUAUCAAACAGGAUUAGAAACCCCUGUAGUCC
rnacentral:rRNA from 1 species